GUUAACCUUUGCUCAGUGAUCCACAGAGAAGUGGUAAAAAACUACCAGAGAGCAAAUAUCGGUGCUUUGUGAGCAGGAGAAAGAGCCAGGGGUUGUAGACUGUCCAAGGUUUUAAAAAAGGGACAAUGUAUAUAAAUCUGCAUCUUGUACGAUUUGGCAUCCCCCAGUGUUUCUGAGUUCAACGCGACUGUCGUAAACACAAAUCCCAGUGAACAUGUAUGCAACACUGGGAUCCUGCCCUCUCACUGGAGUUACAUAGUGCAGAAACAAGUGAUAGGAGGGUGACAUGGCGCAUCCCAGGGAGGAAAAAUGGAGGACACAGCAGUGUUAUGAAUGCAGGUCAUAUUGACACUGAAAACAAGCCAGGAAAAUAGAAGAUUGUGCCAUGCGGGACGCCCACCUGACAGACACCCUUUCUGACUUUUACAAAAACAGCCUCAUUA